AACUAAACCUGAUAGUAAUGAAAAGCUCCCGAUUUUUCAUCGGGACUUGUAAUGGAUAGCGGGACUGAAA
rnacentral:sRNA from 2 species